GUGAAUCAUCAAAUUUUUGAACGCAAAUUGCACUCUCUUCGGAGAGUAUGCCUGUUUGAGGGUCAGCCUAAAAAAAAUCGACAUAGUUGCUGUUACGCGGUAACAUUCGUCGGAAAUUUGGUCAUCUUAAACCUUUGGGAUUAAGCGGCUUAAAAUUUUCUUUACGACUCCAAGAACGCUACUAAGAUGUUACUUCUUACACGUUUAAGGUAGCGA
rnacentral:misc_RNA from 1 species